rnacentral:rRNA from 1 species
AGUGAACGCUGGCGGUAGGCCUAACACAUGCAAGUCGAACGGCAGCACAGUAAGAGCUUGCUCUUACGGGUGGCGAGUGGCGGACGGGUGAGGAAUACAUCGGAAUCUACUUUUUCGUGGGGGAUAACGUGGGGAAACUUACGCUAAUACCGCAUACGACCUACGGGUGAAAGCAGGGGAUCUUCGGACCUUGCGCGAUUGAAUGAGCCGAUGUCGGAUUAGCUAGUUGGCGGGGUAAAGGCUCACCAAGGCGACGAUCCGUAGCUGGUCUGAGAGGAUGAUCAGCCACACUGGAACUGAGACACGGUCCAGACUCCUACGGGAGGCAGCAGUGGGGAAUAUUGGACAAUGGGCGCAAGCCUGAUCCAGCCAUACCGCGUGGGUGAAGAAGGCCUUCGGGUUGUAAAGCCCUUUUGUUGGGAAAGAAAAGCAGCAGGUUAAUACCCCGAUGUUCUGACGGUACCCAAAGAAUAAGCACCGGCUAACUUCGUG